rnacentral:rRNA from 1 species
AGUGAACGCUGGCGGUAGGCCUAACACAUGCAAGUCGAACGGCAGCACCGUAAGAGCUUGCUCUUACGGGUGGCGAGUGGCGGACGGGUGAGGAAUACAUCGGAAUCUACUUUUUCGUGGGGGAUAACGUAGGGAAACUUACGCUAAUACCGCAUACGACCUACGGGUGAGAGCAGGGGAUCUUCGGACCUUGCGCGAUUGAAUGAGCCGAUGUCGGAUUAGCUAGUUGGCGGGGUAAAGGCCCAGCAAGGCGACGAUCCGUAGCUGGUCUGAGAGGAUGGUCGGCGACACGGGAACUGAGACACGGUCCAGACUCCUGCGGGAGGCAGCAGUCGGGAAUAUUGGGCAAUGGGCGCAAGCCUGAUCCAGCCAUACCGCGUGGGUGAAGAAGGCGUUCGGGUUGUAAAGCCCUUUUGUUGGGAGAGAAAAGCAGCAGGUUAAUACGCCGCUGUUCUGACGGUACCCGAAGAAUAAGCACCGGCUAACUUCGUG